GUGGGGAAUAUUGGACAAUGGGCGCAAGCCUGAUCCAGCCAUGCCGCGUGAGUGAUGAAGGCCUUAGGGUUGUAAAGCUCUUUCACCGAUGAAGAUAAUGACGGUAGUCGGAGAAGAAGCCCCGGCUAACUUCGUGCCAGCAGCCGCGGUAAUACGAAGGGGGCUAGCGUUGUUCGGAUUUACUGGGCGUAAAGCGCACGUAGGCGGUUUGUUAAGUCAGGGGUGAAAUCCCGGAGCUCAACUCCGGAACUGCCUUUGAUACUGGCAAGCUAGAGUCCGGAAGAGGUAAGUGGAACUCCUAGUGUAGAGGUGGAAUUCGUAGAUAUUAGGAAGAACACCAGUGGCGAAGGCGGCUUACUGGUCCGGAACUGACGCUGAGGUGCGAAAGCGUGGGGAGCAAACAGGAUUAGAUACCCCGGUAGUCC
rnacentral:rRNA from 1 species